GGUUGAAAUGUUUCAUACUGUUGUAAUACUAACAGACGUUUAUCAUGUCAAAACUAGCUAUUGUGCAUGUAUGACUUAACUGAUUUAUGCAAAACAAAUAUGUUGGUGCUCGCCUAGAAACCUUUAUAAAUCUAAUCUUCUGACAAUUAACCCCAUGAUGAAUUAGAAAUUUGAAACCAAACAGAUAGAGACCAUAUUCAGUGUUGGAAUUUUUUGUUUCUAAUAUUAAAAUCCUCUUUCUGUCCUCUUAAUAUGGAUAAUCUAAAUUGAGUUUCAAAAUGAUGCUUGCAAAAAUACAACCCAUUGUCCUUGUUUCAGUUAUCUAGGUGUUACGUAUUAACCACAUACAAUAUGUUACCCAUGAAUUAUAUAUUUUGUGCACAAUUGGUCCCUAUGUGUUUGUUAUCAAAUGAUUUUGGGGAUCUGUAUUGGUCCUACAACGGUUAUCUCAUUAAAAACAAAUUUCACUUUUGAAAAUUAGAUACAAUUUUCGAACUUCAAUGAAAGAAUUAUGUAAUUAAUUUUGCAUUCGAUUAGAAAUAUUAUUUACUCGUAAUAUGUCAAUAUUUGUU
rnacentral:lncRNA from 1 species